rnacentral:rRNA from 1 species
GUUGUAAUUUGCAGAGGGCGCUUUGGCAUUGGCAGCGGUCCAAGUUCCUUGGAACAGGACGUCACAGAGGGUGAGAAUCCCGUACGUGGUCGCUAGCCUCUACCGUGUAAAGCCCCUUCGACGAGUCGAGUUGUUUGGGAAUGCAGCUCUGAAUGGGAGGUAAAUUUCUUCUAAAGCUAAAUACUGGCCAGAGACCGAUAGCGCACAAGUAGAGUGAUCGAAAGAUGAAAAGCACUUUGGAAAGAGAGUUAAAAAGCACGUGAAAUUGUUGAAAGGGAAGCGCUUGCAGCCAGACUUGCCUGUAGUUGCUCAUCCGGGUUUCUACCCGGUGCACUCUUCUAUAGGCAGGCCAGCAUCAUUUUGGGCGGUUGGAUAAAGGUCUCUGUCAUGUACCUCCUCUCGGGGAGAACUUAUAGGGGAGACGACAUGCAACCNGCCCGGACUGAGGUCCGCGCAUCUGCUAGGAUGCUGGCGUAAUGGCUGUAAGCGGCCCGUCUUGAAACACGGACCAAGGAGUCUAACAUCUAUGCGAGUGUUUGGGUGUCA